CUUUACCUGCAUCCCAGGUGUCAGGUUCCUAGAACAACAAUGCCGCCUCGGGCUCAGAGGCGCACUUUUCAGCCCCAGAGGGCAGCACACAGUCUCAGGAACCAACUACAUCAGUAAGAGGACAUGACUUUGAGAUGUUUCACAUCCAUUGUGGAUAUAGAAGAUUCCGUCAGACACAACUGCCCUCUUGAAGUUGGGGGAAAAUUUGCUUCAGUAACACUUGAGUAUAGAUGUGUGGUAUUUUUAUCAAUUAGUAGCGUAACAUCACUACUGCAAACUGGCCAUAUUUUAGUCACUUAGCUACAUAUUAUGUUUAACACCUUUUAUUAUAUAUUCUAGCAAUGCAGUUCUCUUACUGUGGAUCACAUAACUCUUGCUGGUGGACUGGAAAGUUGGUUACAUGGCUCUUGUCUAUUUCCCUGUGCUAACUUGCAUUAUUACAAGAAAUUAUAAAUUCAUUAAAUACAUUCCUAAUGUUA